GUCAUCACGCUCUGGCUGACUCUGCUAGAGUGCAAGGAACAAAGACUCAAAUAUAAACUGAUACUAGCUCUAGGGGAUAACACCAGUGCUGUUGAAUGGUUGACCAGGACAGGUGACCUGCCACCUAGUUUGAUCUACUUUGAUGCAGCAAACUUUAUCGCCUGAAAACUGGCUAGCCUCAUGAUUGAAUCCAGAAACUUUCUUGCCUCUCAGCACUUGCAAGGAAAGAAGAACCAAGUAGCAGAUUGACUGACAUUCAAAGGAGAUACAGGGUCAGUGGAAAUUAACGGUGGCGCAGAAAUGCAUCCACCCUGUAAUGUCCAACUGACUAACCAUUUCCUUUGUUGUUGUCCACAGCUACUUCCACCUGCUUUCAAAAUCUCUCAGCUGCUGGUAGAGAUCUUCUUAUCUGCGCAGCAGAGCAGAAAAAUGCUCAAAUUGUCUAUGAUGCGCAUACAGAAGGAGCAGUCGAGACAGUCUCCCAAGUUACAAGGAGAUGACAGAGUUUCUGUAAAAGAGACCUUGCCGGUCUUGAUCCAUCCCUUUUUGGAGUUUCAGCAGUUGCAGCCGGCUUGUCUCUCAGAGCCUUUUUUGAGGUAUAUCAACACGCUGACUUUGAACCAGGAGGAAAUAUUUCUGGAGGACGUAAGGCCCCAAUGGCAGGAAAGACAGUCAGAAGUGCCAAAGGAGCACUGGCGGCGUCGAUCCGGUGUAGUAUUGAGAGGUCGCCCUUGCACCGUUGUUGCGGAGACUAAGAAUAGGGGGAGAAGCUCCUGUCCAAUCUAAACAAACUGUUUUCGGGUAUGGAGGCCAAUUCCCUUAAUGUUAUAAGACAGAAGGCAAUCACACCUAAACUCUUACAACAAAUUAUUUACCCAACAAGCAGUGCAAUACUCAAUGAGUUCAAGGACCAUGCCACCAACCUGAUAGUAAGAGCUUUAUUCCUUGUCAUGGGAGCCUGUGAUUACGUCAAAACCCCUGUUCCAGGAAAGACCAGUAGGGUUCGUCUAGGUUGCAUCCAUUUCCUAUCCAGAAAACGAAACCGCAUCAGACACGAUGACCCCAAUCUACUAACCAGAACCAAAUUUGUCACAGUUGUAUUUGAGGACCAAAAGAAUGGAGAAAGAUUCAAGGUAAGGACCCAGGAGAGAACCAAGUACCGGUUCCUUUGCCCUGUCAUUCGUUCUGGCCAAGCCGUCCAGAGAAUCCUCAAGUACAUUCCUAACGCUGAUGAAUCUACUCCCUUAUGCGCUAUGAACAGCCGGAAAAUUAAGACCAAUUUUAUUACCAGUACCUUCACCCUCAAUCUGAUCAGGGAGACAUGUGGCAACUUUGGAGGGGAAGCAGUCUUUGGUUUUGGGCCUAUGGACAUAUGAAACAAAAGCCUUCAAUCAGGAGCAGUGAUGUUGCUCUUCCUUAUGAAGCACUCAUCAGAUAGGAUAAUGAUCCUAGGAAGAUGGAAAUCAAUAGCCUUCUUAGAUUACAUCAGACUCCAAGUCAUUGAGUGGACAAGUUGCGUAUCAGGAGACAUGAUAUCCUUUGACAACUUCACUGACCUUCUAGACAAAAGAAUCACAGAGCUUACCAAAUCCACCCAAGAAACACAAUGGGAUGGGAUCCCCCAGAUGCAUAAGAAACCACUUCAACAAGAUGCCUGUCUUCAACUUAGGCAACUUCUAGAAUCAGGAAACUGGCUGAUAAUGACAUUCAAACCCAAACUUAUUGUUUGUUAUUAAGGGAUCAAAGUGGAGGCUCCAGAUUUUUAAUCCAGAGCAUUUAGCAACCCAAGUUUACAAAAUCACUAUUUUCAACUUCUACUUCUACUUAUUUAUGGUUGGAGUUAUCAAGUAUAAUAACACUUGGGCUGGCCUUGGGUAAACACACAAGACAGAUAGCUCUCAAUGACAUCUUUGUUACCACUUGCAUAGCGGUGCCUGCCAAAGCUACGGAAUGUAGUUGAUUCACCAACCACAAUGACAGAAAAGUUGUUGGAGACAAACAUAAUGUUCUAAUACACUAAAUAGACGCUAUUGCACCCAACUUAACUGGUGUUGUCCUCUGCAAUACUUUCAAAUGAGAUAUUUUGUUCCUUAUUUCUGAGCAAAAUUCAUGUUGUUUGUGUGCCUUCUACAGCAGCAAAAUGAAUUACAUUCAGCAUCCACAGGUACAGAAAAGUUGUUGGACACAUCUGUUAAAGAAUAACACAGGUGUCCUAAGGUCAGCUCAAUGAGAACAGAAAUCUCAUGUAGAACAAAAGGGUAAAAGCUGACUUGAUUUUGAUUUUCAGUACGAAUACAAACCGAGAAAUCGUGGCCUAUCGAUCCUUUCAGUUUUUAGAAUUUGAAGUGAGAGGUGUCAGAAAAGUUACCACAGGGAUAACUGGCUUGUGGCAGCCAAGCGUUCAUAGCGACGUUGCUUUUUGAUUCUUCGAUGUCGGCUCUUCCUAUCAUUGUGUCGCAGAAGUCACCAAGUGUAGGAUUGUUCACCCACUAACAGGGAACGUGAGCUGGGUUUAGACCGUCGUGAGACAGGUUAGUUUUACCCUACUGAUGAGUUGGUUGUCGCGACAGUAAUCCAACUUAGUACGAGAGGAACCGUUGGUUCGGAUAUUUGGUAAUGGGGUUGGCUGAACAGCCAAUGCCCCGAAGCUAUCAUCCGUAGGAUUAUGACUGAACGCCUCUAAGUCAGAAUCCAUGCUGGCAGCGACGAUAUUCACCUUGACCGGUGUUUUUGUACCGAUAGCCUUUAUGGUCAACACGCUACUUCACCACACUACCAAAUGUUGGUCGAGUUAAAUCCUCUGUAGACGACUUGAAUGGAACGGGGUACUGUAAGCAUGAGAGUAGCCCUUGUGCUACGAUCUGCUGAGGUUCAGCCUCUGUUCCGGGAUUUGUGCG
rnacentral:rRNA from 1 species